rnacentral:rRNA from 1 species
GUGGGGAAUCUUGCGCAAUGGGCGAAAGCCUGACUCAGCCAUGCCGCGUGAAUGAUGAAGGUCUUAGGAUUGUAAAAUUCUUUCACCGGAGACGAUAAUGACGGUACCCGGAGAAGAAGCUCCGGCUAACUUCGUGCCAGCAGCCGCGGUAAUACGAAGGGGGCUAGCGUUGCUCGGAAUUACUGGGCGUAAAGGGCGCGUAGGCGGACAGCUUAGUCAGAGGUGAAAGCCCAGGGCUCAACCUUGGAAUUGCCUUUGAUACUGGCUGUCUUGAGUUUGGGAGAGGUGAGUGGAACUCCGAGUGUAGAGGUGAAAUUCGUAGAUAUUCGGAAGAACACCAGUGGCGAAGGCGACUCACUGGCCCAAUACUGACGCUGAGGCGCGAAAGCGUGGGGAGCAAACAGGAUUAGAAACCCGGGUAGUCC